GUGGGGAAUCUUGCGCAAUGGGCGAAAGCCUGACGCAGCCAUGCCGCGUGGAUGAUGAAGGUCUUAGGAUUGUAAAAUCCUUUCACCGGGGACGAUAAUGACGGUACCCGGAGAAGAAGCUCCGGCUAACUUCGUGCCAGCAGCCGCGGUAAUACGAAGGGGGCUAGCGUUGCUCGGAAUUACUGGGCGUAAAGGGCGCGUAGGCGGACAGCUUAGUCAGAGGUGAAAGCCCAGGGCUCAACCUUGGAAUUGCCUUUGAUACUGGCUGUCUUGAGUUUGGGAGAGGUGAGUGGAACUCCGAGUGUAGAGGUGAAAUUCGUAGAUAUUCGGAAGAACACCAGUGGCGAAGGCGACUCACUGGCCCAAUACUGACGCUGAGGCGCGAAAGCGUGGGGAGCAAACAGGAUUAGAAACCCGAGUAGUCC
rnacentral:rRNA from 1 species